UACGUAGGGGGCUAGCGUUGUCCGGAAUCAUUGGGCGUAAAGAGCGCGUAGGCGGCCCGGUAAGUCCGCUGUAAAAGUCAAAGGCUCAACCUUUGAAUGUCAGUGGAUACUGCCGGGCUAGAGUCCGGAAGAGGCGAGUGGAACUCCUGGUGUAGCGGUGGAAUGCGCAGAUAUCAGGAAGAACACCAACGGCGAAGGCAGCUCUCUGGGCCUUACCUGACGCUGAGGAGCGAAAGCGUGGGUAGCGAACAGG
rnacentral:rRNA from 1 species